AGCUAAUACCGCAUAACGUCGCAAGACCAAAGAGGGGGACCUUCGGGCCUCUUGCCAUCGGAUGUGCCCAGAUGGGAUUAGCUAGUAGGUGGGGUAACGGCUCACCUAGGCGACGAUCCCUAGCUGGUCUGAGAGGAUGACCAGCCACACUGGAACUGAGACACGGUCCAGACUCCUACGGGAGGCAGCAGUGGGGAAUAUUGCACAAUGGGCGCAAGCCUGAUGCAGCCAUGCCGCGUGUAUGAAGAAGGCCUUCGGGUUGUAAAGUAC
rnacentral:rRNA from 2 species